rnacentral:pre_miRNA from 1 species
GUGCAGUAUUCUUGGCUGUGGAAGCUGGCGAACGUCACCCAGUCACCGUAUAGCUAUCUGUGGACCAAUACCAGCACCGCGCCGGAACUGGUCGCAGGAC